rnacentral:lncRNA from 1 species
GCGAGGCUGGAUUGAGGCACUGUAUAGGCAACCCAAAGCCCAGAUACUAGUGAAUGGACUUCCCACAGAAGACUUCACGAUACAAAAUGGCACCAGGCAGGGAUGUCCCCUGUCGCCAAUCCUUUUCGUCCUAGCAUUAGAGCCAUUCCUACAAGCGAUCAGAACGAACCAGGACAUCACGGGGAUAAUUAAGGGCACCAUACACCACAAGGUUGCGGCUUACGCCGACGACCUUCUCUUCUUUGUCUCCAGACCUGAACUCUCACUCCCCAAUAUUAUUAAAGCCUUCCGUGACUACGGGGAAAUUUCAAAUAUGAAAAUCAACUUUGCCAAAUCAUACAUCCUUAACAUAUCCAUACCCCACCAACGGGAAACACCCCUCCGCCAGAGCUUCUCAUUCCAAUGGGCAGACUCUAAAAUUAGGUAUCUGGGCAUUUGGCUCACGCGAAACAACACGGACCUUUUUAAGGAAAACUUUGCCCAGAUGCUGACCACACUCAAGAGAGAUGCCGGGGAAUGGUCAUACCCCACAUCUCCUGGUUCGGCCGGGUCCAAGUUAUUAAAAUGAACUUCCUACCACGGCUACUAUACCUGAUGCAGACAAUACCCUUACGGAUCCCUAGGACAUACUUUACAACCCUACACAGGACCAUGAGAGAAUACGUAUGGAAAGGGAAGAAACCUAGGCUAAAAUUCUCACAACUCACACAACCAAGGGACAAGGGAGGCAUGGCACUGCCAGACUUCCACUUAUACUACAUAGCGUGCCAUCUCCUUAGAAUAGUAGAAUGGUCGAAACUUAACGUCCACAAACAAUGGAAGUCAGUAGAGGAGGCAGACCUGCAGAUUCCCAUAACACUAGCACCAUGGCUACCUAGAGGGAGGUGAGACAAGACACCCACAUACGUGAGGAAUACCCUGCAAGUGUGGCACAGUAUAGCAGACAGAGCUGGCCUGACCCCAUACCCAUCACCCCUACUUCCCUUGACACAUAAUGCAGAGUUCCCACCGGGACUCGACCCACUAGUCCUUAGGAGCAUUAUCCCAGACCAGCUACCUAGGCUCCACCACAUUUACACGACAUCAGGCCGGAAGUCCCUCUCAGACCUCACGGGAGAUCGGCCCCGACCUUCAUACAGACGUUCACAUACGCGCAACUGACAAGCUAUCUUCAGACCCUACCCCAGGGUGAGGCCCUACGGCGCACCCCCACGGAAUUCGAGCAACUAUGCCUCGACCCAGAACCACUCCCACACGGGAUAUCCAAACUAUACAGCCUACUACAAAUACAGAUCCCAGUGGAAACACCUAGGUUUAAGGGAAAGUGGGAAACGGCCCUGAACCGAAAAUUUAGCGAUGGGGAAUGGGACAAAAUCUGCACACUGACACACCACUGCGCGGUCUUCAGCAGACACCAGGAGACUGCAUAUAAAUUGCUCACGCACUGGUAUCGCACCCCGGACGUCCUACACAACAUACACCCAGACCACCCUGCACACUGCUGGCGAUGCGGGACAGGAACGGGGACACACAUACACAUCUGGUGGUCCUGCGAGAAGAUGCAACCCUUCUGGCGGGGGAUACACAAACUCAUACAGAAAUUCUCAGACCACCCUCCACCCUUUGAACCGGCAGCAAUGCUCCUACACCAUACUGCGGGGCCUAGCAAUAUCUACAAACGAUCUAUGACCAUAAGGAUACUAAAUAUUGCCAAACAACUCAUCCCCCUACACUGGAGGGACACUGAGCCCCCUACCCUUAGGGAAUGGUUCGCGAAAAUGGAGGACCUCAGGGUGACGGAAGACCUACACUUGACGGCUACAGAUAGGGCACAGCGAUACCUAGACAUUUGGACGCACUGGAUUCUGACAACAUCAGGAGAUAACUUCCUGGACACACUAGGGGAAGACUGACUGAACCUGAGACCCCAGACCACUGUAAGAACAGAUUACUAACACCUGCGAGACUCACAUAUGGAAGCCUUGCUUACCAACCGGACCCCGCCAGAGGGCCUCCGUGGGGAUAACCCCCCUUUUUUCUUUAUCCCCACCUACUUCACCCGUCACCGACGGACAUCAGACUGACUGUUAGGCGAAGCCACACUGGAACCUUCGCUCACCCUUACAUUGAACGCACCGAAAACUGACAAAAACACUGAAAUACACGGACAUACGUAGAGCCCCAUAGACAGGCACAACGGGACCUGCAGGCCCCAGAUGAUACAUGACACACUGACCACUAGAGACCCGAGGGUCUCCCACAACGGGCAAUUGGACGAAGUAGGGGCCAGAGAGCCCGCACAUAAGUCAUACUCUCAGCAGGACAUAUCAGCACUGUUAACAGCACUGUAUACGAUAUAAUUGGGCAAUAUAACCUUUACCCACAUAAUUGUACCUUGCACUCUGUACUGCCUUAGACAUACAUACUCUGGCAAAGUAUUUGCAUAUCUAUUGUUCAUUGGUGUACACUUACCUUGCGAAAUCAGCCUCUGCGCAGGCAACUUCAUGCUUUUACAUCGCAAUGUUUUGUGUUUAACAUUAUUAUGCCAUC